AGCUGGACCGCAAGUUUUUAGGCGAAUCUCAAAAAAACAGUCUCAGUUCGGAUUGAAGUCUGCAACUCGACUUCAUGAAGUUGGAAUCGCUAGUAAUCGCGAAUCAGCAUGUCGCGGUGAAUACGUUCUCGGGGUUUGUACACACCGCCCGUCAAACCACGAAAGUUGGCAAUACCCAAAGCCGGUGGCCUAACUUCGCAAGAAGAGGGAACCGUCUAAGGUAGGGUCGAUGAUUGGGGUUAAGUCGUAACAAGGUAUCCCUACCGGAAGGUGGGGAUGGAUCACCUCCUUUCUAAGGAAACAAUUAUCAUCUUCAGUUUUGAGAGACUUAAGAAAGUUUUUCAUUGUAACUUGCUUGCAAAUUGUAUUUGCAACAUUUUAAUCUUUUUAAGAUUAAGGGCCUAUAGCUCAGUUGGUUAGAGCACACGCCUGAUAAGCGUGAGGUCGGUGAUUCGAGUCCAUUUAGGCCCACCAAAACCACAAAU
rnacentral:misc_RNA from 1 species